GUCCACGCCCUAAACGAUGUCGACUGGUUGUUGGGGGUUUGACACUCUCAGUAACGAAGCUAACGCGUGAAGUCGACCGCCUGGGGAGUACGGCCGCAAGGUUAAAACUCAAAGGAAUUGACGGGGACCCGCACAAGCGGUGGAUUAUGUGGAUUAAUUCGAUGCAACGCGAAAAACCUUACCUACCCUUGACAUGUCCGAGAGCCCGCAGAGAUGUGGGUGUGCCCGAAAGGGAAUCGGAACACAGGUGCUGCAUGGCUGUCGU
rnacentral:rRNA from 1 species